UAUUGCGUAAUGACGUGCUCCGAUUUUACAGUAAUUAUUUAACAAUAAAUAGCAACAAUUAAUUGUUAAUUUAUAAUAAAUCAGUUCAUUAACUCGCUGGCUACAAUUUGAGUACAUAAUUAUUGCUGGAUGUCACGUAUUUUAGCCAAAAAUUGAUAUUGUUUAAAGUGCCCAAAAGCGGCCGGGUCACGAAAAGACGCCAUGGGAUUUGAUGACACAAAAUGGCCGCAGAUUUCUUUGGAUAUGUCAAAAAUUAUGAGAUCUGGACAGAUGCCAUGACAUUUACAACAAAAAAAUAGCCUCAGAUGUAAAAAAAAGAUGACCAAGAAUUAAUUGGAAAAAUGACAUGACAAUGAUAAAAGACUGGGCUUUUUAUUGAUCAAGGAGCCAAAUUUACAGUGCCAAAUAGCCAAAGAUACAAAAAGAUGGCCAGAGUUUAUUUGUAAAAUAUGUCUGACAAAGUGAAAAAAAGUAUCGGCACUUUAUUGAACAAUAAAUUAUGUGGCUGAUGAAUGUUUAAAGCUAUUCAAGACUGAAUAUUAAGUAAUUGUUGGCUAAAUAAAAAUGUGCUGAUAAUUCAAACCAAGACAAAAGUGUUUUACAUACCAUAGAAUGAUAUUGUACCAAGUGACUUGUCAUAAAUAACUAACAAAUAGAAAUAAAUAUACUAUUCAAUCAAAUGACGACGAUGUUGGUGGUCGUAAAAGGUAUGUUGGUUUUCGUUUUUCUUCGACAAAUUAAGUAAAUUUAAUAUGAAAUCAGUCUAAUCAGUUAUGAAAUUUAUGGAAAAAAAUAUGAUUGAUUUCAUAUUAAAUACUGAUAUAACUGAACGACAAAAAACUACGAAAAAAAAAAAAAAAACAGACAAAAGACGUUGAUCUAUCUUUUAACGAUACAUUAAAUUUAACAAAUAAUAAAUGGGAAAUUAAUUUUAAACUUGACGUUUAUUGUCUUGCGUUGCGUUUAAAAAAUAUGAGAAUUAAUUGUUAAACGGUGCGAAAACAAACAAUGUAAAUUUAUAAUUAUUAAUUAUAAAUUCACAAAAUAAAAAAAAAGAAGAAAGUAAUAUUAGAAAAAAAAAAUUUACUCUGAAGAAAUGACAAGAUCACUUGGGUCAAUGAUAAUAUCAAGAACCACAGGGCAUUUGUAAAAACUUGGAAAAGAUUCAACAUAUGAAUCUACUGAAAGAAAUCAUGCUACAGAAGUUAAUAUUGAUGCAAAGAAAAAUUGACACGACGAAUACCUUGACCAGGACUAGCCAGCAUAAAAGUAUUUAAAAUGCCAACACCAGACGAUGACAUUGGACAUCCUGCUAAUGCAACUUACAUCAUAUCCAUCCAUGUAUCCUGUGAGCUGCAUCUACACCUUGUGACAUGAUACAAAUAACAAACUACAUAAUAAAAUAAAUUUUUUUUACUAUUUAAAA